UUCUGCCCCAACAGUCAUAAUAGCUAAUAAAUUACAACUGACUGAGGACAGCUAGACCAACAGCAAUCUGUACUUGAAAACUUAAAAGAGAUUGGCAGUGCUUUUGCAACAGUUAAUCUACUUAUAAACUAGGGAGGGGGAACGCCAUCAGAAGCGGUUGGGUUUUUAAUGUCAGACAUUAAUUUAUGGAAUGGCCACUCCCACUAAAUUAUUCGAGCACAGUGAUGGUUCGGGUUGUCUGUAAAUAACAAUAAUAACAUUCCAGCUGAACAGCAGGUGACCAACAACGGUAGGAUUUCGAGGCACUGGCCUCUGACUAACGUGCUAUACAGUAACUGUUGGCCUCCUGCCAGGCCACCUCCCGGGUCACGCCUCCUCAGUCGCCUGCCUAUUGCGUGGCCUCCAGAUCUGUUCUGCUGCUGGGCAUGCAGCUGGUACCAGAACUGCUUUGUCACCUCCGCUAGCCCCACUGCUGAACUCCUGAACUACUCUCUGUUUGGCGAUUGGACUCCACCUAAAACGUCUGAUGGAUUCAGUGAUCCAAGCAGAAAACAGGUUAUCACAAAAAAAAAAAAAAAAAAAAUCCCAAGAAAGACUUCAGUCCAAAAUGCUGCAGUGAAAGUAGUGACAGGGACUAGAAAGACCAUAUUUCUGCUAUGCUGGCUUCUGUUUAUUGGGUCCAUGUUAAAAGACUAGAAAAGACUGAAUACAUUACAGCUAUAAUGUUGACACCAUUUAGUAAGCCCUUUUAAACUCAGUUGUUGCUGUACUGAUUUAGAAAAUGUUUGCAUUGUUAUAUAUCACAUCAUUUCCAGUGGUAGGAGAUGGUGUAAAAUUGCACUCUAAAGAUAUUUGAAGGCAUCCUGAAUAACUCUGCUCAGCCACUUUAAAACAACAACAGUAACAUCAGUACUCCUCUCUCUGUUGGGAAAAAAUAAAAUAAAAUUCACAGAAUAAAUUCAGAGAUAUAGAAAAUCAUUCGCACCCACAACCAUCAGGCUUUAAUAGAUGAGCUAUGUCAGACAUAUGAAUUUCCC
ensembl:lncRNA